rnacentral:rRNA from 1 species
GCCCCUAGUACGAGAGGACCGGGGUGGACGGACCGAUGGUGUAUCAGUUGUCGUGCCAACGGCACAGCUGAGUAGCCAAGUCCGGCAGGGAUAAGCGCUGAAAGCAUCUAAGUGCGAAGCCCACCUUAAGAUUAGGUAUCCCAUCCCUAAAAGGGAGUAAGACUCCGGGAAGACUACCCGGUAGAUAGGUCAGAGGUGUAAGAGCUGUAAAGCUUUGAGCCGACUGAUACUAAUAAGUCGAGGGCUUGACCUAU